rnacentral:rRNA from 1 species
CGGGACACGUGGUAUCCUGUCUGAAUAUGGGGGGACCAUCCUCCAAGGCUAAAUACUCCUGACUGACCGAUAGUGAACCAGUACCGUGAGGGAAAGGCGAAAAGAACCCCGGCGAGGGGAGUGAAAAAGAACCUGAAACCGUGUACGUACAAGCAGUGGGAGCACGCUUCGGCGUGUGACUGCGUACCUUUUGUAUAAUGGGUCAGCGACUUAUAUUCUGUAGCAAGGUUAACCGAAUAGGGGAGCCGAAGGGAAACCGAGUCUUAACUGGGCGUUAAGUUGCAGGGUAUAGACCCGAAACCCGGUGAUCUAGCCAUGGGCAGGUUGAAGGUUGGGUAACACUAACUGGAGGACCGAACCGACUAAUGUUGAAAAAUUAGCGGAUGACUUGUGGCUGGGGGUGAAAGGCCAAUCAAACCGGGAGAUAGCUGGUUCUCCCCGAAAGCUAUUUAGGUAGCGCCUCGUGAAUUCAUCUCCGGGGGUAGAGCACUGUUUCGGCAAGGGGGUCAUCCCGACUUACCAACCCGAUGCAAACUGCGAAUACCGGAGAAUGUUAUCACGGGAGACACACGGCGGGUGCUAACGUCCGUCGUGAAGAGGGAAACAACCCAGACCGCCAGCUAAGGUCCCAAAGUCAUGGUUAAGUGGGAAACGAUGUGGGAAGGCCCAGACAGCCAGGAUGUUGGCUUAGAAGCAGCCAUCAUUUAAAGAAAGCGUAAUAGCUCACUGGUCGAGUCGGCCUGCGCGGAAGAUGUAACGGGGCUAAACCAUGCACCGAAGCUGCGGCAGCGACGCUUAUGCGUUGUUGGGUAGGGGAGCGUUCUGUAAGCCUGUGAAGGUGUACUGUGAGGUAUGCUGGAGGUAUCAGAAGUGCGAAUGCUGACAUAAGUAACGAUAAAGCGGGUGAAAAGCCCGCUCGCCGGAAGACCAAGGGUUCCUGUCCAACGUUAAUCGGGGCAGGGUGAGUCGACCCCUAAGGCGAGGCCGAAAGGCGUAGUCGAUGGGAAACAGGUUAAUAUUCCUGUACUUGGUGUUACUGCGAAGGGGGGACGGAGAAGGCUAUGUUGGCCGGGCGACGGUUGUCCCGGUUUAAGCGUGUAGGCUGGUUUUCCAGGCAAAUCCGGAAAAUCAAGGCUGAGGCGUGAUGACGAGGCACUACGGUGCUGAAGCAACAAAUGCCCUGCUUCCAGGAAAAGCCUCUAAGCAUCAGGUAACAUCAAAUCGUACCCCAAACCGACACAGGUGGUCAGGUAGAGAAUACCAAGGCGCUUGAGAGAACUCGGGUGAAGGAACUAGGCAAAAUGGUGCCGUAACUUCGGGAGAAGGCACGCUGAUAUGUAGGUGAAGUCCCUCGCGGAUGGAGCUGAAAUCAGUCGAAGAUACCAGCUGGCUGCAACUGUUUAUUAAAAACACAGCACUGUGCAAACACGAAAGUGGACGUAUACGGUGUGACGCCUGCCCGGUGCCGGAAGGUUAAUUGAUGGGGUUAGCGGUAACGCGAAGCUCUUGAUCGAAGCCCCGGUAAACGGCGGCCGUAACUAUAACGGUCCUAAGGUAGCGAAAUUCCUUGUCGGGUAAGUUCCGACCUGCACGAAUGGCGUAAUGAUGGCCAGGCUGUCUCCACCCGAGACUCAGUGAAAUUGAACUCGCUGUGAAGAUGCAGUGUACCCGCGGCAAGACGGAAAGACCCCGUGAACCUUUACUAUAGCUUGACACUGAACAUUGAGCCUUGAUGUGUAGGAUAGGUGGGAGGCUUUGAAGUGUGGACGCCAGUCUGCAUGGAGCCGACCUUGAAAUACCACCCUUUAAUGUUUGAUGUUCUAACGUUGGCCCCUGAUCGGGGUUGCGGACAGUGUCUGGUGGGUAGUUUGACUGGGGCGGUCUCCUCCUAAAGAGUAACGGAGGAGCACGAAGGUUGGCUAAUCCUGGUCGGACAUCAGGAGGUUAGUGCAAUGGCAUAAGCCAGCUUGACUGCGAGCGUGACGGCGCGAGCAGGUGCGAAAGCAGGUCAUAGUGAUCCGGUGGUUCUGAAUGGAAGGGCCAUCGCUCAACGGAUAAAAGGUACUCCGGGGAUAACAGGCUGAUACCGCCCAAGAGUUCAUAUCGACGGCGGUGUUUGGCACCUCGAUGUCGGCUCAUCACAUCCUGGGGCUGAAGUAGGUCCCAAGGGUAUGGCUGUUCGCCAUUUAAAGUGGUACGCGAGCUGGGUUUAGAACGUCGUGAGACAGUUCGGUCCCUAUCUGCCGUGGGCGCUGGAGAACUGAGGGGGGCUGCUCCUAGUACGAGAGGACCGGAGUGGACGCAUCACUGGUGUUCGGGUUGUCAUGCCAAUGGCACUGCCCGGUAGCUAAAUGCGGAAGAGAUAAGUGCUGAAAGCAUCUAAGCACGAAACUUGCCCCGAGAUGAGUUCUCCCUGACUCCUUGAGAGUCCUGAAGGAACGUUGAAGACGACGACGUUGAUAGGCCGGGUGUGUAAGCGCAGCGAUGCGUUGAGCUAACCGGUACUAAUGAACCGUGAGGCUUAACCUUACAACGCCGAAG